rnacentral:rRNA from 1 species
GUGGGGUAUAUUGGACAAUGGGCGAAAGCCUGAUCCAGCCAUGCCGCGUGUGUGAAGAAGGUCUUCGGAUUGUAAAGCACUUUAAGUUGGGAGGAAGGGCAGUAAGUUAAUACCUUGCUGUUUUGACGUUACCGACAGAAUAAGCACCGGCUAACUUCGUGCCAGCAGCCGCGGUAAUACGAAGGGUGCAAGCGUUAAUCGGAAUUACUGGGCGUAAAGCGCGCGUAGGUGGUUUUGUAAGUUGGAGGUGAAAUCCCCGGGCUCAACCUGGGAACUGCCUCCAAAACUGCAUGACUAGAGUACGGUAGAGGGUAGUGGAAUAUCCUGUGUAGCGGUGAAAUGCGUAGAUAUAGGAAGGAACACCAGGGGCGAAGGCGACUACCUGGACUGAUACUGACACUGAGGUGCGAAAGCGUGGGGAGCAAACAGGAUUAGAAACCCCGGUAGUCC